rnacentral:lncRNA from 1 species
UUUCAUUCUGUUUUAUAUGUCGAUACAAUGUGGUUUAGAUGCCUUUAAGGUGAUGAGAAAGUUAUCGGAAAAUAUGAUGUUGAUUGAUAAAUACUUCCAGACUACAAUUAUCUGAUCAAUGGUUUAUUCGUCUUCUACCUUUUGAUAUUUUUUAAGAAUUUCAAUGGCUAUUAUGAAUUUUAUUUUUUUUAGUUUAUAUGAAACUGUUUGAAGGAAUGAA